UAGCUAGUUGGUGAGGUAACGGCUUACCAAGGCGACGAUCUGUAGCGGGUCUGAGAGGAUGAUCCGCCACACUGGAACUGAGACACGGUCCAGACUCCUACGGGAGGCAGCAGUGGGGAAUUUUGGACAAUGGGGGCAACCCUGAUCCAGCCAUGCCGCGUGAGUGAAGAAGGCCUUCGGGUUGUAAAGCUCUUUCGGCCGGGAAGAAAUCGCAUGGGCCAAUACCCUGUGUGGAUGACGGUACCGGAAUAAGAAGCACCGGCUAACUACGUGCCAGCAGCCGCGGUAAUACGUAGGGUGCGAGCGUUAAUCGGAAUUACUUGGCGUAAAGCGUGCGCAGGCGGUUUAGUAAGACAGGCGUGAAAUCCCCGGGCUCAACCUGGGAACUGCGUUUGUGACUGCAAGGCUAGAGUACGGCAGAGGGGGGUGGAAUUCCACGUGUAGCAGUGAAAUGCGUAGAGAUGUGGAGGAACACCAAUGGCGAAGGCAGCCCCCUGGGUCGAUACUGACGCUCAUGCACGAAAGCGUGGGUAGCAAACAGGAUUAGAUACCCUGGUAGUCCACGCCCUAAACUAUGUCAACUAGGUGUUGGGUGGGUAAAACCAUUUAGUACCGUAGCUAACGCGUGAAGUUGACCGCCUGGGGAGUACGGCCGCAAGGUUAAAACUCAAAGGAAUUGACGGGGACCCGCACAAGCGGUGGAUGAUGUGGAUUAAUUCGAUGCAACGCGAAAAACCUUACCUACCCUUGACAUGCCAGGAACUUGCCAGAGAUGGCUUGGUGCCCGAAAGGGAGCCUGGACACAGGUGCUGCAUGGCUGUCGUCAGCUCGUGUCGUGAGAUGUUGGGUUAAGUCCCGCAACGAGCGCAACCCUUGUCGUUAAUUGCCAUCAUUUAGUUGGGCACUUUAGCGAGACUGCCGGUGACAAACCGGAGGAAGGUGGGGAUGACGUCAAGUCCUCAUGGCCCUUAUGGGUAGGGCUUCACACGUCAUACAAUGGUCGGUACAGAGGGUCGCCAAGCCGCGAGGUGGAGCCAAUCCCAGAAAGCCGAUCGUAGUCCGGAUUGCAGGCUGCAACUCGCCUGCAUGAAGUCGGAAUCGCUAGUAAUCGUGGAUCAGCAUGUCACGGUGAAUACGUUCCCGGGUCUUGUACACACCGCCCGUCGCACCAUGGGAGCGGGUUCCGCCAGAAGUAGGUAGCCUAACCGCAAGGAGGGCGCUUACCACGGCGGGGUUCGUGACUGGGGUGAAGUCGGAACAAGGUAGCCGUAGGGGAACCUGCGGCUG
rnacentral:rRNA from 1 species